AAAAAAUCUUCUUCUCCUUCCCCUACGAUUGGGACGCUUCUUCUCCUCCGGUAAUCUCCAGAUCGUCCUCCGCCUGCGCCGCUGUUGUUCCUCCGCCUGCGGCGCGUACUACCAUAGCAGGAUGAACAGGGGGAGUAGCCAUACUGAAGGUGUCCCUCUCCCGAUCUCGAUUUUGAGCGUUGAUGCCGUUCGAUAUGACAAUUUUAUCGGACUAUGGCUACCAGAAUCGUCAUCCACAUCGAGCUCGGCGGCCAUAUCUUCCGCACUUCGUCGACGCCGUCCAUGACUUUCCCCGCGCAGGUACUGCUCGUCCCUCUCUUUUAACGGAAGUUUUUGAGCAUAGUCGUAGCCCCUUCUGCUGGAUCAGACGGCAUAGGAUGAGGGACCACAUGUCCUGAAGGUUCUCCAGGCCCUCUCGCCAACUUUCUACAUCAAGCGAUCGAUAUGACAUCAAUGGUGCUACUGACUUCAUCAGGGAGCUGCCCAUGGUGUUGGAGGCAAAAAGAAAAAAAGUUGGGUUGGCUGCACACUACCUUCAAGUUAUCUUGCAACUAAACUGAACAAACCACAUAGACUGAGCUCUGAUCCUUGUGAACAGAUAGCUUUGUUAAGUUAUAUACCUUGAGGUCGCAUCAUUGCGGCUGAAACUGCAUAGAGUGCAUUCUUGUAAUCUUCUUACUUUGUGUCAGGUUACGCUAGAUGGAUCAAUCUGUGUUGAGCAAUUCUACAAAUGCCCAGCUCUUGGAAGGGUAUUCUUAAGGUCGUCUGGAAGCACGGUGGAUGCAGGAAUAGUAAAUAAGAUAAUGGGGGCAGGAACAGUACUAGAACUCUUUCGUCCAACCUGCCGCCUAAUGUAAUUCCGGCCGAUCAAGAGCUUGAAGCUCGCAACUUUUCUUUUCUGUUUGCUCAUCGCCAUUGUGGUUGUGCAUUAGAGUGGAGUUAUGCCUGCAGUUCAUUUACAAGUCUGCACCCUUGGACACGUUUGAGAACUCAACUCACGCUCGACUCAUCUAUCCUUUGCAAGUUUGCGUUAAUAUUCCUAACAAGGUACAUAAGAUUCUGUAUUACAUGUUCUC